GUCAGGUCGCAAGACGAUGGCGCUGAAACUCAACGCGGACUGCGGGCAGACCCGGGGGCAGUACCCGGCGCCUCCACCA
rnacentral:tmRNA from 1 species